rnacentral:rRNA from 1 species
AGACGUAGGGGGCUAGCGUUGCCCGGAUUCACUGGGCGUAAAGCGCGCGUAGGCGGUUCGGCAAGUCGCCCGUGGAAGCCCCUGGCUCAACUGGGGGAGGUCGGGCGAUACUGCCGGGCUAGAGGGCGGCAGAGGGAGGUGGAACGGCCGGAGUAGCGGUGAAAUGCGUAGAUACCGGCCGGAAUCCCGAUGGCGAAGGCAACCUCCUGGGCCGUUCCUGACGCUGAGGCGCGAAAGCUGGGGGAGCGAACCGGAUUAGAUACCCUUGUAGUCC